GAUAAAUCUUCUUUAUAUUUAAAUAGCAAGGCUUUUUCAUGCCUCAAAGCAACAAAAAAGAUAAUUUAAGCCAGAGAUUCUUCCUUUGCUUCAUGUGAAUUCAGCGCAUGUAAAGAAAUCUGAAGAAACUGUCAGCCAAGUAGAUUUCCUACUUGUUUAUUUUAGCUGUAACUUUCCUUUGCAGCUCACCAUUGCAGAAAUCAAAG
rnacentral:misc_RNA from 1 species